UACGUAGGGUGCAAGCGUUAAUCGGAAUUACUGGGCGUAAAGCGUGCGCAGGCGGUUAUGUAAGACAGUUGUGAAAUCCCCGGGCUCAACCUGGGAACUGCAUCUGUGACUGCAUAGCUAGAGUACGGUAGAGGGGGAUGGAAUUCCGCGUGUAGCAGUGAAAUGCGCAGAUAUCGGGAGGAACACCGGUGGCGAAGGCGGUUCUCUGGGCCUGACCUGACGCUGAGGAGCGAAAGCGUGGGGAGCGAACAGG
rnacentral:rRNA from 1 species